CCUACGGGAGGUAGCAGUGGGGGAUAUUGCACAAUGGGGGAAACCCUGAUGCAGCGACGCCGCGUGUGGGACGACGGUCCUCUGGAUUGUAAACCACUGUCCCCGGGGACGAAAAUGCCGGUACCUGGUGAGGACGCUCCGGCUAACUACGUGCCAGCAGCCGCGGUAAUCCGUAGGGAGCGAGCGUUGUCCGGAAUUCCUGGGUGUAAAGGGAGCGUAGGCGGGGAUGCAUGUUGGGUGUCAAAACUACCGGCUCAAGUGGUAGUCGCACUCAAAACUGCAGCUCUUGAGUGAAGUAGAGGCAGGCGGAAUUCCUAGUGUAGCGGUGAAAUGCGUAGAUAUUAGGAGGAACACCAGUUGCGAAGGCGGCCUGCUGGGCUGUGACUGACGCUGAGGCUCGAAAGUGUGGGGAGCAAACAGGAUUAGAUACCCCUGUAGUC
rnacentral:rRNA from 1 species